rnacentral:snRNA from 1 species
AGAGAACUGCUUGAGGCUGGGAGGUCAAGGCUGCAGUGUGCUGAGAUCAUACCACUGUAUACCAGCCUGGGCAACAGAG